CGCGUCACCAUAUAUUUGUACACCAAGAGUGAACCCUAAUGUAAACUAUGGACUUUGGGUGAUAACGAAGUAUCAGGGUAGGCUCACUGAGUGUAACGAAUGUACCACCCUGGCAGGGGCAUGUUGAUAAUGGGGCAGGCUACACAUGGGUGGGGGGUGCUUUAAGGGAAACCUCUGCACUUUACUUUCAAUUUUGCUGUGAACCUAAAGUUGCUCUAAAAAAUAAAGUCCAAAAAAAAAAAAAACAACUCGGAGGAUCCGGUAUCUUUUUUCAGUUGUAUUGAUUAGGGCCAUUUUCAUCUUAAUUAACGUGGUGCUUUCACUGUGAGGAUUCCGAAGAAUGAAACAGCAACGUGGAAUGGUCUCACAAAAGCAAAUCUUACCAAGUAGUCAAAUAAAAUCACUCCCUAUGUGAAAAUACACGUUAGGCUGGAUAAUGUUGGAACCCCCUUCCCGGUGAAGAAAAACAGAACAAGUUUGAAAGAAUAGUAAACUUAAUUCUAAAGUGGAGAUUUUUAUUUUUUGCUGGAAUAAAAACACUUUAGGGGGGUAGUGGGUACAAGAAAAAGUGCCGCGACUCAAGUGUACAACCUGGGACAACUUCGCCUCCCUCCUUACCUGAACUAAAAGUAAUGUCACACAUGUUAAGGCUUAUAUUCUUAAGUCACACAGGCCCAACUACUUGGGGGAUUAGCUGUCACUUCAUAUCCUCUUCAAGAGUGGUGCUACCGACUAGGAAGGCCAAGGGCCGAAGAAAGUCACCUUGGCACCCACGCCUCAAAGGAGCAGUUUGGGUUUCUCAGGAGGUGCCACCUGGACAUCCUGGGAAUAUGGUUAUCCUGCGUUUUGACUUCUUUUGAGCACUUGAAGCCUACACUUAGGUGUAAGGGACAGAACCGUCUGAUGAAGACACAGGCCACCUGAUUUUCUCCUAGAAAGCAGGGCCCAAGUGGACUAUUUCAAACUGGCUACACAUCUCUGCAAUUUAAAAUUUUCCUACUGCUAUCUCUUCACGGAGUCUCAAAAGCAGUUUUCAGGCAAGGCAAACGUAUUCGAGAAAGUUCAGGCGCAGGGUGUUGUUCUGAGAUUUCCUUUUCUUGGGAAGGGAAAGGGGGUCGCGGAGCGUCUUUCUGACCACCAGGGGAAAGUCUUCCACAAAUGUCAUCCGGCUGGGGGCAACCUAUGGACUUUGGGAAGUCAGUUGGGACAGUCACGAGCCACCACCUCUGACCUCUCGGGACCUGCUCGACUGGAGCCCGGGAGGAGGACAGCGCGGGCUUCCCCGCGGGGCAGAGGCCGCCCCCUCCCGGCAGGGGAGCAGCGCCAGCGCCGUCGGACGUGCGGACCCGCCGGGGUCCCGGCAGCCGCAGCAGCGCCCCCGGGAGAGGCACUCCUUAGCUUCCAAUUGCCAGCAGUCCAGUCCAAGCCCAGACUCUCUGGGGACCUCUUGCUCUCUGGCCAAAGCCGUGAUUGAACAGGUGUGGGAAUCAAGACAUUGUUGUCAUCACUGACAGGCUGGAUUGUUACUAUUAUUCUCUUGUACCUGGAGUCCAUAAAAUAAUUCAAGGUUUGUUCUCCUUCCUUGUUUUUUUUCUCAAUGCAUGAUAAUUUUAAGCAGAAAUUUAAGACAUCAGUAUAUACGUAUGUUUACAAAAUCAUAAUAUUAUAGGAAAUAAUAACUUUAGCAAAAAUCUCAAGAAUUUUCUUGAAUCAUUCCAUCAUUGUGAUAUUUGGAGAUAUAUAGAACAGUCUACACUACCAGAAGGAAAUAAGGUCAUUAGAAAAGUAAAGAUCUCUGAUGGUGAUUUGUCAUAGUAACGAAAAAGGAAUUUCCUAAGCAUCAAACUUAAGUCUGUAACGCACUCAUUUACUACGGUUUUUAUGAUUAUUAUAGCAGAUGCUACAUAUCAUUAAUAUUUUGUCAAACAAAAAAAUUCUUAUCAACUCAUAAUUUCCUACAAUUUUACUAUAAUAAAUAAAAAUAAAGGAAUACUUUUUCCCA
rnacentral:lncRNA from 1 species